ACUCAUGUAAUCCUCUGGAGAAUGAGAUUCCGGCAGCUUUUACAAUGGGCCGAAAGAGGGAGAGCAUGUGUUGAUGAAACGGAGGCUGUGUUCGAGUGAUAUAAGGCAGAAAAUAUUCAAUUAUUCUUUCCAUAAAAGACACUCAGAAGUUAUGCAACUUGGAUCAUCAACCUGCAGGUAGAUGGACGGCUGAGAUGAUUCCAUCCCUUCCUAUAAAUUGGAGAGGAUGGCGAGCCUAAUUUGAGCUCCGGUCGGAGCCUAAGGGAACAAUUACUUGGAGACAUGUCAUGGAAUUGGAGUGUAUUGGGUUCUCUGGUAAGGUCACCAACGGAAUCGAGUUGGUUCGUUCCAAGCCCGAAUUGAUGACACCUGUCGAAUCACGGGCCGUUUUCUUGGGAGCUCUGUGGAGUCCUCUGGUUGGUUCCACCUUCUCCACCAAUAUCUCCAGAUCCGGAGCACUCUUCUCCACCCUUUCUUGGGAUCCCUCGCGAGAUUGCAGUUGCGAAAGCAGGUGUGCUGAUCGGCCGGCGGCGGUUUGUCAACUCGGUUCGUGGGUACAUGUGGUUUCUCCGAUGAUGGGAGGGGCGAUCGGCUACUUCUAUGUGCUCGAGCGACUUGGUUCCGUGGCGGAGAUUUGUGAAUUCCAUGGUCUUGUGCGUGUUCUCUGUUUGGUGAAGAACGUUGAAUGUUUCAUGCAGGUCACCUGUUUGAUGAUAUUUUACAGAGACAUCUCUCCUCGGUGAUGAGCUGUUAUGCGAUCCUAGCUGAAGGCUAAGGAGAUGAUACUUAUUCUCUGCUAAAGAAGCCGCCCGGUUGUUCUGGAAUUCGUGAUGAAGGAGCUAGAUGGGUAUCUUGCGAUAUAUUUAAGGGAACAGUCCCUCAACCAUUCAUUGUUCCAGUACUUCUAUAGAUUGGUUCGUUUCCUGUUUCUCUAUCUAUGCAUAUUGUAAAGAACAACCCCUUGCUAUUUUAUUCAGUGAAAUUAUAUCUUUUUUGGGGAUUCUAA